GGGGGGUUAGCUCAGCGGGAGAGUCCCUGGUUUACACCCAGGUUGUCGUGGGUUCAAAUCCCUCACCCCCCA
rnacentral:tRNA from 1 species